rnacentral:rRNA from 1 species
CCCUUAGAUGUUCUGGGCAGCACGCGCGCUACAAUGGUCUUCGCAAACGGAUGCAUUCUCGAAGGAUAAUGCCAAUCUUGGAAUCUAUGCCUUGGUCGGGACAGUUGCUUGCAAUUUUUCGACUCGAACCAGGAAUUCCUUGUAAUCGUGAUUCAUCACAUCACGAUGAAUACGUCCCUGCCCUUUGUACACACCGCCCGUCGCUCCUACCGAUCGAAGAGUUAGGUGAAUUGUUUUGAUCGAUAAGAUUUGACUAUGGUCAACUCUCGUUGUGAAAUUCUGUGAAUCUGACUGUUUAGAGGAAGGAAAAGUCGUAACA